rnacentral:rRNA from 1 species
UACGUAGGGGGCAAGCGUUGUCCGGAAUCAUUGGGCGUAAAGCGCGUGUAGGCUGCUUCGAAAGUCGGAUGUGAAAGCCCUGGGCUCAACCUAGGAAGUGCACUCGAAACUUCGAAGCUGGAGUCCUGGAGAGGAAGGCGGAAUUCUCGGUGUAGAGGUGAAAUUCGUAGAUAUCGAGAGGAACACCGGUGGCGAAGGCGGCCUUCUGGACAGUGACUGACGCUGAGACGCGAAAGCGUGGGGAGCAAACAGG